CCAAAGAAGCACGUGCCGUCCCCCACCAGGAAAGUGUAUCCCAGUACUGUACCUCUGGUGUACACCAAACCACCCCUGGGGUCUGCCCGUCCCAUCUCGAGAGCCAAGGGACAGGCCUUCAACCUCACAACCCCAGCUGCAACUGAUGGCUAUCAAAUCUUUGACCCCCUUGGACCCACUCCAUUUCCAUUUUUACUGGGAUAUCCAGGGAUUAAAGGAGACAGAGGGCCUCAGGGUCCACCAGGUCUGCCGGGCUUACCAGGACCACCUGGCAAGAGAGGUUCCCGAGGUCCCCCAGGUCCCCACGGAAACCCUGGUUUACCUGGUCCCCCUGGCCUGAAAGGUCAGAAAGGUGAUCCUGGGCUGUCGCCUGGAAAAGCUCGCAAUGGCCAGAAGGGAGACGUGGGCUUACCUGGUUUGACUGGGUUCCCUGGACCACCUGGUAGAAAGGGAUAUAAAGGCUACCCCGGACCACCAGGUCACCCUGGAGACCAGGGCGAACGAGGACCAGAUGGAAGUCCAGGUGCCAAAGGUUAUCCUGGCAGGCAGGUGCAGUAAAUCUCAUCGUGCUGUGCACAGACUAGGGAUUUGGGUGUGCAGGUAGCUAAAUAUAUGCCCUGAUAAAUAAACGCCCCACUAAAGACAGUGCAG